GACGAACGCUGGCGGCGUGCUUAACACAUGCAAGUCGAACGGAAAGGCCCUGCGUUUGUGGUGUUCUCGAGGGGCGAACGGGGGAGGAACACGUGAGUAACCGGCCCUUGACUUUGGUGUAACUUCAGGAAACUGGAGCUAAUACCGGAUAGGAGCUCCUGCUGCAUUGUGGGGGGUGGAAAGUUGAGGCGGUUGGGGUUGGACGAGCGGGUUAUGAGCUUGUUGGUGGGGUAGUGGCUUACCAAGGCUUUGGCGGGUAGGCGGCACGGGAGGGUGACCGGCCACCUUGGGACUGCGAUACGGCGCAGAGUCCUACGGGAGGCAGCAGUGGGGAAUAUUGCACAAUGGGCCGACGUCUGAUGCAGAAACGCCCCGUGUGGAAUGCCGGCCUUUGGGUUGUAAACCGCUUUAGCCUGUGACGCAGCGUGAGUGACGGUAAUGAGUAAAGAAGCACCGGCUAACUACGUG
rnacentral:rRNA from 1 species